UUAAAAUUUGAAACAAAGAAAAUUCUUUAUGUGUGUCGUUGAGAACUAUUGCUGCAGCUCGAUAUUAAAUAUUUCGAUAUUAGAAAUUUUCAUUCGGAACGAAGAGGAAGAAAUGAUAAAUCUAACGCGGAAUGCCCUCCCGGGAAGUAAUUUGACCCCGUUUUCUUCAUUGCUUCUGCCAUAAAUAGUGAUCUGUGUAGGCGUAUGCAAGCUCAUCCGGGGAGAUGUUUACUAGCUUCUGAGAACUGCCUCUUGUGAAAGGGUCACCUCAGACGAAGUUCAAGUUGCAGCAGGUUCGAAGAAUUAAAACGAUUUCGGCCGGGAAAGAUGAAUUUCAUCAAAUCCAUUUAAGAUCGGACGACGAAUAAUCGGAUACCACUCGUUCUGGUAAACAUUUUUUUCGGAAUUGGAUCGUGUUAGUUAAAUCCGAUGCAACACGCGAAAUCGGAGCUGAUGCUUUGCUACAAAGCCACCCCAUAUCAUCCGGCAUCGGAUCAAACACUUGCACUUUAUCCCGUACAUCCCGCGGUUAUACGACCUGGGAAGAUUGCCUACCGGUUAGCUUGUUUAAACCGACCCUGGUGGCCUUCUGAAGACCAUCAAUUCUGCGCCACCGCUUCACACGAUGGUUUCCACCUGCAACAGAAAUGACUGCAAAACGAUAUCAUCCACCAACUUCAACCGGAAAUCGAACUCCAUGCUCAUUCGUUUCGGAAGUGCUCCAGAACAAUAUUUUCUCGGCGAAAUCCAUUGGCAGUCAACAGCUGCGGAACUGAUUGCUUACACUUGGACCACAAACGUCACCGUUAGCUUUGUUCGGAAUAUCGGUUGGUCGCAAUCCAGCCGGAAUUGGAUCUACAGGAAGUCGUUCCGGAACAGCAGAACAACCUCAACAGAGUUUCUCGACAAACGAAAGUGGCAAAGUAACCGGCUGCAGCAUCACCUGUGGAGUGUCUAUACUGGGUGGACAAUCUUAGAAUCUUUGAGGAAGAAAAGGUGCGACAGCAUACCGACGGUGGCGUAAUAUCCAUCACACUGCAGUGCACUGGUACUACGUUUGUGCUGGUA